rnacentral:lncRNA from 1 species
AUAGCAGUGGUAGAAACAGCACUCACUGUGUACCAGGCACUGUUCAGAGCAGAUUACAAACAUUACUUCAUUGACUUCUCCGCGUAACUGUAAGGUAGAUACUAUUACCUUCACCUCCGUUUCAAAGACGAGGGGACUAGGACACAAAGAAGUUUACUAACUCUCUCAGGGUCCAGAUCAUCUGUCUCCAGACCCCAAGCUCUGAAUCUGGGCUCGGGCGGCCUUUGUGAAUCCAUCAAGUAGAACGAGAUGCGGCUGGAGGUGACCCCAGAUCAUUCACUACGACAAACAACAGUUGCAUGUGUUAAGGAAAACCUCGCCCUCUUCCAGGCUCUCUGAAAUAGAGAAAGUUCUCCGCUUUAAUCAGAACUGACUGAUAUUAAUGUUUAUUCCUGUCACUUCUUGAUAUGACCUUUUACAUACCCAAGAUGAAACUAAAAUUGAUGUCAGGGAUAGCAUUCCAGGUAAAACAACUUCAGUGAUAAAACUUGUUACUUCAGCAAUGUUGCCCGAGGGGCAGACUUACAUUUUUCAUGAAAAAUGUUAGGCAGAAGGUCUUGAUGUCAUUUCAUGCACCAUUUAAUCAGAUUUCGCUCAAGAGACAGAAGGAUUUGGAAAGCUCUACUUUUCCUUUUAAAAAAUAUAGCUCACAUUUUUGGUAUAAAAGUAAAUUCAUGCUCACUACAGACAGUUUUGGAAAAACACAAAUUAUAGUUAAGAAAAUAAAAAUUAUACAUAAUUCUACCACCCCCAAAACAAUUACUUUGAUGUAUUUACUUCCAUUCUUUUUUUUUUCUUUAUUGAAUAUAUAUGUGUGUGUUUCAUGUGAAGUCUGAAUAUAUUUUACAUCUUACACAUUUUACUUAAUAUUAUGUUAUGGACGUUGUAUGUUGUAUGUAUGUUUUCCCAUGUCUCAAAAAGUCUGUGUAUAAUUGUGGUGUUUGUUCUGUCUGUUAUCCUAAGUUGCCUAUUUUUGUUUUGGUGCCAUCUUUGUCUUUUCAUAUAAGAAAUAUAUAUUGGCUUUUGUCUUCUACAAUGAUUUGUAUGGUUUUCACUUCUUGUUUGUACUGGCAUUGAAUAGGCAGGACUCUAUGCAAGUCAAGAUUAAAAUUGACUUUUUU